rnacentral:rRNA from 1 species
UACGGGAGGCAGCAGUGGGGAAUAUUGCACAAUGGGCGCAAGCCUGAUGCAGCCAUGCCGCGUGUAUGAAGAAGGCCUUCGGGUUGUAAAGUACUUUCAGUCGUGAGGAAGGUGUUAAGGUUAAUAACCUUAGCAAUUGACGUUAGCGACAGAAGAAGCACCGGCUAACUCCGUGCCGGCAGCCGCGGUAAUACGGAGGGUGCGAGCGUUAAUCGGAAUUACUGGGCGUAAAGGGCACGCAGGCGGUUAAUUAAGUUGGAUGUGAAAUCCCCGGGCUUAACCUGGGAAUGGCAUUCAAGACUGGUUAGCUAGAGUCUUGUAGAGGGGGUAGAAUUCCAUGUGUAGCGGUGAAAUGCGUAGAGAUGUGGAGGAAUACCGGUGGCGAAGGCGGCCCCUGGACAAAGACUGACGCUCAUGUGCGAAAGCGUGGGGAGCAAACAGGGAUUAGAUACCCGU